UUUUGCAUAAUGAGCCUGCGAGUUGUGGUGUCUGGCAAGGUUAAGCAAACGCGAAGCCGUAGCGAAAGCGAGUCUGAAUAGGGCGCUUAGUCAGAUGCUGCAGACCCGAAACGAAGUGAUCUAUCCAUGAGCAAGUUGAAGCUAGUGUAAGAACUAGUGGAGGACUGAACCCAUAGGCGUUGAAAAGCCCCGGGAUGACUUGUGGAUAGGGGUGAAAGGCCAAUCAAACUUCGUGAUAGCUGGUUCUCUCCGAAAUAUAUUUAGGUAUAGCGUUGUGUCGUAAUAUAAGGGGGUAGAGCACUGAAUGGGCUAGGGCAUACACCAAUGUACCAAACCCUAUCAAACUCCGAAUACCUUAUAUGUAAUCACAGCAGUCAGGCGGCGAGUGAUAAAAUCCGUCGUCAAGAGGGAAACAACCCAGACUACCAGCUAAGGUCCCUAAAUCUUACUUAAGUGGAAAACGAUGUGAAGUUACUUAAACAACCAGGAGGUUGGCUUAGAAGCAGCCAUCCUUUAAAGAAAGCGUAAUAGCUCACUGGUCUAGUGAUUUUGCGCGGAAAAUAUAACGGGGCUAAAGUAAGUACCGAAGCUGUAGACUUGCACACAACUUAGAUUAUUUAAGUUUAGAAUAUGAGAAACUAAGUUAUAUGUUUAGUUAUAUUUUUACUGAUUUUUAUAGAGUAAAGAUAGAAAUAAAACUUAGUAAAAUCAGUAAAAAUAUUCUUAGACUAAAGUUAAGUAGUUUAAGUUGUGUGCAAGUGGUAGGAGAGCGUUCUAUUUGCGUCGAAGGUAUACCGGUAAGGAGUGCUGGAGCGAAUAGAAGUGAGCAUGCAGGCAUGAGUAGCGAUAAUUAAUGUGAGAAUCAUUAACGCCGUAAACCCAAGGUUUCCUACGCGAUGCUCGUCAUCGUAGGGUUAGUCGGGUCCUAAGUCGAGUCCGAAAGGGGUAGACGAUGGCAAAUUGGUUAAUAUUCCAAUACCAACAUUAGUGUGCGAUGGAAGGACGCUUAGGGCUAAGGGGGCUAGCGGAUGGAAGUGCUAGUCUAAGGUCGUAGGAGGUUAUACAGGCAAAUCCGUAUAACAAUACUCCGAGAACUGAAAGGCUUUUUGAAGUCUUCGGAUGGAUAGAAGAACCCCUGAUGCCGUCGAGCCAAGAAAAGUUUCUAAGUUUAGCUAAUGUUGCCCGUACCGUAAACCGACACAGGUGGGUGGGAUGAGUAUUCUAAGGCGCGUGGAAGAACUCUCUUUAAGGAACUCUGCAAAAUAGCACCGUAUCUUCGGUAUAAGGUGUGGUUAGCUUUGUAUUAGGAUUUACUCCGAAAGCAAGGAAACUUACAACAAAGAGUCCCUCCCGACUGUUUACCAAAAACACAGCACUCUGCUAACUCGUAAGAGGAUGUAUAGGGUGUGACGCCUGCCCGGUGCUCGAAGGUUAAUUGAUGGGGUUAGCAUUAGCGAAGCUCUUGAUCGAAGCCCGAGUAAACGGCGGCCGUAACUAUAACGGUCCUAAGGUAGCGAAAUUCCUUGUCGGUUAAAUACCGACCUGCAUGAAUGGCGUAACGAGAUGGGAGCUGUCUCAAAGAGGGAUCCAGUGAAAUUGUAGUGGAGGUGAAAAUUCCUCCUACCCGCGGCAAGACGGAAAGACCCCGUGGACCUUUACUACAGCUUGACACUGCUACUUGGAUAAGAAUGUGCAGGAUAGGUGGGAGGCUUUGAGUAUAUGACGCCAGUUGUAUAUGAGCCAUUGUUGAGAUACCACUCUUUCUUAUUUGGGUAGCUAACCAGCUUGAGUUAUCCUCAAGUGGGACAAUGUCUGGUGGGUAGUUUGACUGGGGCGGUCGCCUCCCAAAUAAUAACGGAGGCUUACAAAGGUUGGCUCAGAACGGUUGGAAAUCGUUCGUAGAGUAUAAAGGUAUAAGCCAGCUUAACUGCAAGACAUACAAGUCAAGCAGAGACGAAAGUCGGUCUUAGUGAUCCGGUGGUUCUGUGUGGAAGGGCCAUCGCUCAAAGGAUAAAAGGUACCCCGGGGAUAACAGGCUGAUCUCCCCCAAGAGCUCACAUCGACGGGGAGGUUUGGCACCUCGAUGUCGGCUCAUCGCAUCCUGGGGCUGGAGCAGGUCCCAAGGGUAUGGCUGUUCGCCAUUUAAAGCGGUACGCGAGCUGGGUUCAGAACGUCGUGAGACAGUUCGGUCCCUAUCUGCCGUGGGCGUAAGAAGAUUGAAGAGAUUUGACCCUAGUACGAGAGGACCGGGUUGAACAAACCACUGGUGUAGCUGUUGUUCUGCCAAGAGCAUCGCAGCGUAGCUAAGUUUGGAAAGGAUAAACGCUGAAAGCAUCUAAGCGUGAAGCCAACUCUAAGAUGAAUCUUCUCUAAGCUCUCUAGAAGACUACUAGUUUGAUAGGCUGGGUGUGUAAUGGAUGAAAGUCCUUUAGCUGACCAGUACUAAUAGAGCGUUUGGCUUAUCUUUAAUAAAGCAU
rnacentral:rRNA from 1 species